GCGCUCGUAGCUCAGUGGAUGAGAGCAUCUGACUACGGAUCAGAAGGUCGCAGGUUCGAAUCCUGCCGAGCGCG
rnacentral:tRNA from 2 species